GAUGAACGCUGGCGGCGUGCCUAAUACAUGCAAGUCGAGCGAACAGACGAGGAGCUUGCUCCUCUGACAUUAGCGGCGGACGGGUGAGUAACACGUGGAUAACCGACCUAUAAGACUGGGAUAACUUCGGGAAACCGGAGCCAAUACCGGAUAAUAUAUGGAACAGCAUGGUUCAAUAGUGAAAGACGGUUUUGCUGUCACUUAUAGAUGGAUCCGCGCCGCAUUAGCUAGUUGGUAAGGUAACGGCUUACCAAGGCAACGAUCCGUAGCCGACCUGAGAGGGUGAUCGGCCACACUGGAACUGAGACACGGUCCAGACUCCUACGGGAGGCAGCAGUAGGGAAUCUUCCGCAAUGGGCGCAAGCCUGACGGAGCAACGCCGCGUGAGUGAUGAAGGUCUUCGGAUCGUAAAACUCUGUUAUUAGGGAAGAACAAAUGUGUAAGUAACUCUGCACGUCUUGACGGUACCUAAUCAGAAAGCCACGGCUAACUACGUG
rnacentral:rRNA from 1 species